rnacentral:rRNA from 1 species
AUGGCGUCCACGGCUCCUCCGCGGGAGGACCUCAUCACGGAGGACGAGGAGCAGCGGCCGCCCCUCACGCGGCCCCUCCUCCGCCGCAGCGCCACCAACAACAUCUCCCAGGUGGCCAUGGUCGGCUCCAAGGCCUGCCCCAUCGAGAGCCUCGACUACGAGAUCAUCGAGAACGACCUGUUCGACCAGAACUGGCGGACGAGGGCCAAGGCGGACCAGGUGUGGUACGUGGUGCUCAAGUGGACCUUCUGCUUCGCCAUCGGCAUCAUCACCGGCGUCGUCGGCUUCCUCAUCAACCUCGCCGUCGAGAACGUCGCCGGCUUCAAGCACGCCGCCGUCUCCUCCCUCAUGGACUCCACCAGCUACUGGACGGCCUUCUGGGUGUUCGCCGGCGCGAACCUGGCGCUGCUGCUGCUGGCGUCGGCGAUCACGGCGUCGGUGUCGCCGGCGGCCGGCGGGUCGGGGAUCCCGGAGGUGAAGGCGUACCUCAACGGCGUGGACGCGCCCAACAUCUUCUCGCUCAAGACCCUCGCUGUCAAGGUCAUCGGCAACAUAGCCGCCGUGUCAUCGUCGCUGCACGUCGGCAAGGCCGGGCCAAUGGUGCACACGGGCGCGUGCAUAGCUGCCAUCUUCGGCCAGGGCGGCUCGCGCAGGUACGGCCUCACCUGGCGCUGGCUACGCUACUUCAAGAACGACCGCGACCGCCGCGACCUCGUCACCAUCGGCGCCGGCGCCGGUGUCUCCGCCGCGUUCCGCGCACCCGUCGGCGGCGUCCUCUUCGCUCUCGAGUCCCUCUCCUCGUGGUGGCGGAGCGCGCUGAUCUGGCGCUCCUUCUUCACGACGGCGGUGGUGGCCGUGGUGCUGAGGCUGUUCGUGGAGCUGUGCGGGUCGGGGCGGUGCGGGCUGUUCGGCAAGGGCGGGCUCAUCAUGUACGACGUCCUCCGCGUCUACAGCGUCGUCAACGAGCGCGGGCGCGCGCACAAGCUGCUGCUGGCGGCGGCCGUGUCCGUGCUCACGUCGUGCUGCGUGUUCGGCAUGCCAUGGUUCGCGCCGUGCCGGCCCUGCCCCGUCGCGGGGCCCAACGGCGCCUGCGGCUCCCUCAACAAGUUCCGGCGGUUCCACUGCCCGCCGGACCACUACAACGACCUGGCCAGCCUGAUGCUCAACAUCAACGACGACGCCAUCCGCAACCUCUACGCCACCGGCACCAACGACGUCUACCACCGGGGCUCCAUGCUCGCCUUCUUCGUGGCCUCCUACGCGCUGGGCGUGCUCAGCUACGGCGUGGUGGCGCCGUCGGGGCUCUUCGUCCCCAUCAUCCUCACCGGCGCCACCUACGGCCGCCUGGUGGCCAUGCUGCUGGGCAGGCACUCCGGCCUCGACCACGGCCUGGUGGCCAUCCUCGGCUCGGCGUCCUUCCUCGGCGGCACGCUCCGCAUGACGGUGUCCGUGUGCGUCAUCAUCGUGGAGCUCACCAACAACCUGCUCCUCCUGCCGCUGGUGAUGCUCGUGCUGCUCAUCUCCAAGACCGUCGCCGACUCCUUCAACGCCAGCAUCUACGACCUCAUCGUGCGCCUCAAGGGGCUGCCGUACCUCGACGGCCACGCCGAGCCCUACAUGCGGCAGCUCAGCGUGGGCGACGUGGUGGUCGGCCCGCUGCGGAGCUUCAACGGCGUGGAGAAGGUGGGCCACAUCAUGCACGUCCUCCGCACCACGGGCCACCACGCGUUCCCGGUGAUCGACGAGCCGCCCUUCUCCACCGCGCCGGUGCUCUACGGCCUCGUGCUCAGGGCGCACCUGCUCGUGCUCCUCCGGAAGCGGGAGUUCCUGCCGGCGCAGGAGCGGUACCCCAAGGAGUACAGCAUCGCGGCGAGGUUCGAGGCGCAGGACUUCGACAAGCGCGGCUCCGGCAAGCAGGACACGGUGGACGGCGUGGAGCUGUCGCCGGAGGAGAUGGGGAUGUACGUGGACCUGCACCCGUUCACCAACGCGUCGCCAUACACCGUCGUGGAGACCAUGUCGCUGGCCAAGGCGCUCAUCCUCUUCCGCGAGGUCGGCCUCCGCCACCUCCUCGUCGUGCCCAAGGCCUGCGAUAGGUCGCCGGUGGUGGGGAUCCUGACGAGGCACGACUUCAUGCCGGAGCACAUCCUGGGGCUGCACCCGGUGCUGCUCGGCGGCAAGUGGAAGCGGCUCCGGUGGCACAAGGCCGCCGUCGCCAAGUACUUCCGCGACCUCAUCGUGCGGCUCGCCAACUGCGGCUGA